AUACGUAGGGGGCGAGCGUUGUCCGGAAUGAUUGAGCGUAAAGGGCGCGUAGGCGGCGCGGUAAGUCUGGAGUGAAAGUCCUGCUUUCAAGGUGGGAAUUGCUUUGGAUACUGCCGCGCUUGAGUGCAGGAGAGGUUAUCGGAAUUCCCGGUGUAGCGGUGAAAUGCGUAGAGAUCGGGAGGAACACCAGUGGCGAAGGCGGGUAACUGGACUGCAACUGACGCUGAGGCGCGAAAGUGUGGGGAGCAAACAGGAUUAGAUACCCUGGUAGUCCACACUGUAAACGAUGAAUGCUAGGUGUAGGGGGUAUCGACCCCUUCUGUGCCGCAGUCAACACAAUAAGCAUUCCGCCUGGGGAGUACGGCCGCAAGGUUGAAACUCAAAGGAAUUGACGGGG
rnacentral:rRNA from 1 species